GCAGAGAGGGAGCGCGCCUUGGCUCGCUGGCCUUGGCUGCGGCUCCUCGGGAGAGCUGGGGCGCCCACGAGAGGAUCCCUCACCUGGGUCUCUCCUCAGGGAUGACAUCAUCCGUCCACCUCCUUGUCUUCAAGGACCACCUCCUCUCCAUGCUGAGCUGCUGCCAAGGGGCCUGCUGCCCAUCUACACCUCACGAGGGCACUAGGAGCACGGAUUCCUGGAUCCCACCAACAUACAAAGCAGCCACUCACUGACCCCCAGGACCAGGAUGGCAAAGGAUGAAGAGGACCGGAACUGACCAGCCAGCUGUCCCUCUUACCUAAAGACUUAAACCAAUGCCCUAGUGAGGGGGCAUUGGGCAUUAAGCCCUGACCUUUGCUAUGCUCAUACUUUGACUCUAUGAGUACUUUCCUAUAAGUCUUUGCUUGUGUUCACCUGCUAGCAAACUGGAGUGUUUCCCUCCCCAAGGGGGUGUCAGUCUUUGUCGACUGACUCUGUCAUCACCCUUAUGAUGUCCUGAAUGGAAGGAUCCCUUUGGGAAAUUCUCAGGAGGGGGACCUGGGCCAAGGGCUUGGCCAGCAUCCUGCUGGCAACUCCAAGGCCCUGGGUGGGCUUCUGGAAUGAGCAUGCUACUGAAUCACCAAAGGCACGCCCCACCUCUCUGAAGAUCUUCCUAUCCUUUUCUGGGGAAUGGGGUCGAUGAGAGCAACCUCCUAGGGUUGUUGUGAGAAUUAAAUGAGAUAAAAGAGGCCUCAGGCAGGAUCUGGCAUAGAGGAGGUGAUCAGCAAAUGUUUGUUGAAAAGGUUUGACAGGUCAGUCCCUUCCCACCCCUCUUGCUUGUCUUACUUGUCUUAUUUAUUCUCCAACAGCACUCCAGGCAGCCCUUGUCCACGGGCUCUCCUUGCAUCAGCCAAGCUUCUUGAAAGGCCUGUCUACACUUGCUGUCUUCCUUCCUCACCUCCAAUUUCCUCUUCAACCCACUGCUUCCUGACUCGCUCUACUCCGUGGAAGCACGCUCACAAAGGUUCCCAGUGCCCCCGACAAGCCCCUGCUGGUGUCUCCAUCUCCUGCCAAGCAUCCUCCAGUGCCUCCUCCUGUGGGCCUGGCCUCAGGGCUAUGGACAGACUCCUGUCCCAUCCCAGAGACCCCUCGUGAUCGUGCCCUGGCACGUGGGCCGUGGCCCGGCUGGGUCGGCUGAAGAACUGCGGAUGGAAGCUGCGGAAGAGGCCCUGAUGGGGCCCACCAUCCCGGACCCAAGUCUUCUUCCUGGCGGGCCUCUCGUCUCCUUCCUGGUUUGGGCGGAAGCCAUCACCUGGAUGCCUACGUGGGAAGGGACCUCGAAUGUGGGACCCCAGCCCCUCUCCAGCUCGAAAUCCCUCCACAGCCACGGGGACGCCCUGCACCUAUUCCCACGGGACAGGCUGGACCCAGAGACUCUGGACCCGGGGCCUCCCCUUGAGUAGAGACCCGCCCUCUGACUGAUGGACGCCGCUGACCUGGGGUCAGACCCGUGGGCUGGACCCCUGCCCACCCCGCAGGAACCCUGAGGCCUAGGGGAGCUGUUGAGCCUUCGGUGUCUGCAUGUGGGAAGUGGGCUCCUUCACCUACCUCACAGGGCUGUUGUGAGGGGCGCUGUGAUGCGGUUCCAAAGCACAGGGCUUGGCGCACCCCACUGUGCUCUCAAUAAAUGUGUUUCCUGUCUUAACAAAAA
rnacentral:lncRNA from 1 species